AGAGUUUGAUCAUGGCUCAGGAUGAACGCUAGCUACAGGCUUAACACAUGCAAGUCGAGGGGCAGCAUGUUGGUUGCUUGCAACCAACGAUGGCGACCGGCGCACGGGUGAGUAACGCGUAUCCAACCUACCCUUGUCCAUCGGAUAACCCGUCGAAAGGCGGCCUAACACGAUAUGCGGUUCACAGCAGGCAUCUAACGUGAACGAAAUGUGAAGGAGAAGGAUGGGGAUGCGUCUGAUUAGCUUGUUGGCGGGGUAACGGCCACCAAGGCUACGAUCAGUAGGGGUUCUGAGAGGAAGGUCCCCCACAUUGGAACUGAGACGCGGUCCAAGCUCCGUACGGGAGGCA
rnacentral:rRNA from 1 species